CCUACGGGUGGCUGCAGUGGGGAAUAUUGGACAAUGGGGGGAACCCUGAUCCAGCCAUGCCGCGUGUGUGAAGAAGGCCCUCGGGUUGUAAAGCACUUUCAGUGAGGAAGAACGCCUGGUGGUUAAUACCCAUCAGGAAAGACAUCACUCACAGAAGAAGCACCGGCUAACUCCGUGCCAGCAGCCGCGGUAAUACGGAGGGUGCGAGCGUUAAUCGGCAUUACUGGGCGUAAAGCGCGCGUAGGUGGCUUGAUAAGCCGGUUGUGAAAGCCCCGGGCUCAACCUGGGAACGGCAUCCGGAACUGUCAAGCUAGAGUGCAGGAGAGGAAGGUAGAAUUCCCGGUGUAGCGGUGAAAUGCGUAGAGAUCGGGAGGAAUACCAGUGGCGAAGGCGGCCUUCUGGACUGACACUGACACUGAGGUGCGAAAGCGUGGGUAGCAAACAGGAUUAGAUACCCCGGUAGUC
rnacentral:rRNA from 1 species